rnacentral:rRNA from 1 species
AUGGGACAUAUUCUGGUGCCUUCCACGAAGCACAAUUAUGCCACCAUAGAUUUUUGGGGAGCACUUGCAAAUCCGGAGAACAUUCAACAAUUUAAUUGGUGUGAGUAUGUACUCAGCUGUCUGACGGAUUCGGUUACCAAAUUGCAAAAAGAUUUGGUGAUGAAUGUUCAGACUAUCAACCUCACUGGCUGUCACUUGUUUCUUCAGGUUUUCUUCCUUGAUAACCUUGAACUUGGUAUUUUCACGACAAAACAUGAUGUUUUCCCGAGGAUCAGUGCCUUUGACAGGGCCACACUUAGACGAAUGAUCACCAUGGCCACGGACAUUGGCAAGUCGCCAAGCACCUACACUAGUGCCAUGCUUAGGGAUCCUCAUGGGCUUUGCUACACGAGAUCAAAUUUUAUGUCCUCGGUUGGUAACUUACGAGACGCGGAAUACGGGCCUAAUUGGAGUACACCACCUCAAUGUUCCACUAGGGCUGCAAUCGACCCUUCGAUGCGAACCCCUGCUGCACUGAGCAUUCCUGGUCGACGUCUAGAUAUGACAGCCAUGGCAGAUACGAACCCCUCCCCAAGCCCUAACUACCGAUCCAAGCGCGCCGCUAGUGAUCCACUUCUCGUUGAUUCAUGUAGACCAAAGAGGGACCAUGGUUCUAGCACAACUUAUUCAGUUCGCCUUUCUGAGUACGCUUCGUCAGUUAGCAGCGUUGUCUUGGAGAUUUUCAUGGAAGAAAACCCAGAUCGUCCAUACAUGAGCUUUCCUCACAUAUUGGACAAUGGCUUGGCGGUGUUAGUUCUUGCUGGUAUGGAUUUCAUCCACCUGAUCCAAAUACAAGAGCAGUUUGUUGGACAACACAUUCUCUACCCCCUGCACACUUGCCAGAACUUUUAUGUUCCAGUGCCAACACCACAUGGCUGGUCACUCUAUUUAUGGGACAUGGUUGCAACUGAAGUACAUGUACUAGACCCUCUCUCUGGUCCUAGUGGGUGCACUCCCGAAGUUCGAGCUAUGCACGAAGCUGCAGUCUCCAUAUUGCACGACGGUUUGUUCAAGUGUAUAUCAGAGUUUUUCUCGGGAUGGCCUAUUUCAUACUGUAGGGAAGAUUCUGCAGUAUGUGUCCUUCAUCUUCUUCGAUUCUACAAUGGCAGCAAGGGAACCGUGCCACUAACUAAGAACAAUAUUGACAGGAUGCGCCUUCAUUUAUUCCAUGAAACCUUCAAGUUACAAGGCAACAAAUCUUCUGUGCCACCAGACGUGAUGUGGAACAUCUUAGCGCCUGACGACAUAGCUGAUGAAACAUCCGUAGUUGCAACUUAA